UACGGGGGGGGCAAGCGUUGUUCGGAAUUACUGGGCGUAAAGGGCUCGUAGGCGGCCAACUAAGUCAUACGUGAAAUCCCUCGGCUUAACCGGGGAACUGCGUCUGAUACUGGAUGGCUUGAGUUCGGGAGAGGGAUGCGGAAUUCCAGGUGUAGCGGUGAAAUGCGCAGAUAUCAGGAGGAACACCAAUUGCGAAGGCAGCUCGCUGGGACGUUACUGACGCUGAGACGCGAAAGCGUGGGGAGCAAACAGG
rnacentral:rRNA from 1 species